rnacentral:rRNA from 1 species
AUUGAACGCUGGCGGCAGGCCUAACACAUGCAAGUCGAACGAGUGGCGGACGUGUGAGUCAUGUCUGGGAAACUGCCUGUUGGAGGGGGAUAACUACUGGAAACGGUAGCUAAUCCCGCAUACCAUCAGAUGUGCCCAGAUGGGAUUAGCUAGUUGGUGGGGUAAAGGCUCACCAAGGCGACGACCCCUAGCUGGUCUGAGCGGAUGACCAGCCACACUGGCACUGAGACACGGUCCAGACUCCUACGGGAGGCAGCAGUGGGGAAUAUUGCACAAUGGGGGCAAUCCUGAUGCAGCCAUGCCGCGUGUAUGAAGAAGGCCGUCGGGUUGUAAAGUACUUUCAGCGGGGAGGCGUUACCCGCAGAAGAAGCACCGGCUAACUCCGUGCCAGCAGCCGCGGUAAUAC